rnacentral:rRNA from 1 species
UACAGAGGUCUCAAGCGUUGUUCGGAUUCAUUGGGCGUAAAGGGCGCGUAGGCGGCGGGGUAAGUCGGGUGUGAAAUCUCAGGGCUCAACCCUGAAACUGCACUCGAUACUGCUCUGCUUGAGGACUGGAGAGGAGACUGGAAUUCACGGUGUAGCAGUGAAAUGCGUAGAUAUCGUGAGGAAGACCAGUGGCGAAGGCGGGUCUCUGGACAGUUCCUGACGCUGAGGAGCGAAAGCCAGGGGAGCAAACGGG